CCUACGGGAGGCAGCAGUGAGGAAUAUUGGUCAAUGGCCGUAAGGCUGAACCAGCCAAGUCGCGUGAAGGAAGAAGGAUCUAUGGUUUGUAAACUUCUUUUAUAGGGGAAUAAAGGUAUCCACGUGUGGAUAUUUGCAUGUACCCUAUGAAUAAGCAUCGGCUAACUCCGUGCCAGCAGCCGCGGUAAUACGGAGGAUGUGAGCGUUAUCCGGAUUUAUUGGGUUUAAAGGGUGCGUAGGUUGUUUUUUAAGUCAGCGGUGAAAGUUUGUGGCUCAACCAUAAAAUUGCCGUUGAAACUGGAAGACGUGAGUGUGUUUGAGGUAGGCGGAAUGCGUGGUGUAGCGGUGAAAUGCAUAGAUAUCACGCAGAACUCCGAUUGCGAAGGCAGCUUACUAAGCCAUAACUGACACUGAAGCACGAAAGCGUGGGGAUCAAACAGGAUUAGAUACCCUAGUAGUC
rnacentral:rRNA from 1 species